UACGUAGGGUGCUAGCGUUAAUCGGAAUUACUGGGCGUAAAGCGUGCGCAGGCGGUUCGUUGUGUCGGCGGUGAAAGCCCCGGGCUCAACCUGGGAAUGGCCGUUGAAACUGGCGAACUGGAGUGUGGCAGAGGGGGGUGGAAUUCCGCGUGUAGCAGUGAAAUGCGUAGAGAUGCGGAGGAACACCGAUGGCGAAGGCAGCCCCCUGGGCUAACACUGACGCUCAGGCACGAAAGCGUGGGGAGCAAACAGG
rnacentral:rRNA from 1 species